AUGAACGCUAGCGGCAGGCCUAACACAUGCAAGUCGAGGGGCAGCACGUUAAAGAGUUUACUCUUUAUGGUGGCGACCGGCGGACGGGUGCGUAACGCGUAUGCAACCUGCCUGACACAGGGGGAUAAUCCGAAGAAAUUUGGUCUAAUACCCCAUAAUACCGAUAUAGGCAUCUAUGUUGGUUGAAAGCUUUGGUGGUGUCAGAUGGGCAUGCGUUGUAUUAGCUAGUUGGUGAGGUAACGGCUCACCAAGGCGACGAUACAUAGGGGGACUGAGAGGUUAACCCCCCACACUGGUACUGAGACACGGACCAGACUCCUACGGGAGGCAGCAGUGAGGAAUAUUGGUCAAUGGGCGGAAGCCUGAACCAGCCAUGCCGCGUGCAGGAAGACGGCUCUAUGAGUUGUAAACUGCUUUUGUACUAGGGUAAUUUGCGGUACGUGUACCGUAUUGAAAGUAUAGUACGAAUAAGGAUCGGCUAACUCCGUGCCAGCAGCCGCGGUAAUACGGAGGAUCCAAGCGUUAUCCGGAUUUAUUGGGUUUAAAGGGUGCGUAGGCGGCAGAUUAAGUUAGAGGUGAAAUUCCGAGGCUCAACCUUGGCACUGCCUCUGAUACUGGUUUGCUAGCGAGUAGAUGCUGUAGGCGGAAUGUGUGGUGUAGCGGUGAAAUGCAUAGAGAUCACACAGAACACCGAUUGCGAAGGCAGCUUACAAAUCUAUAUCGGACGCUGAGGCACGAAAGCGUGGGGAGCAAACAGGAUUAGAUACCCUGGUAGUCCACGCAGUAAACGAUGAUAACUCGUUGUCGGCGAUAUACAGUCGGUGACCAAGCGAAAGCGAUAAGUUAUCCACCUGGGGAGUACGUUCGCAAGAAUGAAACUCAAAGGAAUUGACGGGGGCCCGCACAAGCGGAGGAACAUGUGGUUUAAUUCGAUGAUACGCGAGGAACCUUACCCGGGCUUGAAUUGCAACUGAAUGAUGUGGAGACAUGUCAGCCGCAAGGCAGUUGUGAAGGUGCUGCAUGGUUGUCGUCAGCUCGUGCCGUGAGGUGUCGGGUUAAGUCCCAUAACGAGCGCAACCCCUAUCGUUAGUUACCAGCACGUGAAGGUGGGGACUCUAACGAGACUGCCGGUGUAAGCCGAGAGGAGGGUGGGGAUGACGUCAAAUCAGCACGGCCCUUACGUCCGGGGCGACACACGUGUUACAAUGGUCGGUACAGAGGGCAGCUACCUGGUGACAGGAUGCGAAUCUCGAAAGCCGGUCUCAGUUCGGAUUGGAGGCUGAAACUCGCCUCCAUGAAGUUGGAUUCGCUAGUAAUCGCGCAUCAGCCAUGGCGCGGUGAAUACGUUCCCGGGCCUUGUACACACCGCCCGUCAAGCCAUGGGAGUCGGGGGUGCCUGAAGUACGUUACCGCGAGGAGCGUCCUAGGGCAAAACUGAUGACUGGGGCU
rnacentral:rRNA from 1 species